rnacentral:rRNA from 1 species
GGGGAAUAUUGCGCAAUGGGGGAAACCCUGACGCAGAAACGCCGCGUGCGGGAUGAAGGCCUUCGGGUUGUAAACCGCUUGCAGCAGGGACGAAGGGUUUCUGACGGUCACUGCCGCAGAUGCACCGGCGAACGACGUGCCAGCAGCCGCGGUGAUACGUAGGGUGCGAGCGUUGUCCGGAAUUAUUGGGCGUAAAGAGCUUGUAGGCGGUCCGUCGCGUCGGAAGUGAAAACUCAGGGCUUAACCCUGAGCCUGCUUUCGAUACGGGCAGACUUGAGGGAUGUAGGGGAGAACGGAAUUCCUGGUGGAGCGGUGGAAUGCGCAGAUAUCAGGAGGAACACCAGUGGCGAAGGCGGUUCUCUGCACAUUUCCUGACGCUGAGAAGCGAAAGCGUGGGGAGCAAACA